rfam:Triticum aestivum genome assembly, contig: Triticum_aestivum_CS42_TGACv1_scaffold_643114_T_5AL-0.167542_7AS-0.102480
CCCCUUGGAGAAGGGGAGCUCAUCUCCUUCAUCAUCACCGGGCUUGACAUGGAUUAUCAACCUAUCAUCUCCACGCUAGACAUCCGCACCGAGC